AGAGGAAGUAAAAGUCGUAACAAGGUCUCCGUUGGUGAACCAGCGGAGGGAUCAUUACAGAGUUAUCCAACUCCCAAACCCAUGUGAACUUAUCUCUUUGUUGCCUCGGCGCAAGCUACCCGGGACCUCGCGCCCCGGGCGGCCCGCCGGCGGACAAACCAAAACUCUUGUUAUCUUAGUUGAUUAUCUGAGUGUCUUAUUUAAUAAGUCAAAACUUUCAACAACGGAUCUCUUGGUUCUGGCAUCGAUGAAGAACGCAGCGAAAUGCGAUAAGUAAUGUGAAUUGCAGAAUUCAGUGAAUCAUCGAAUCUUUGAACGCACAUUGCGCCCAUUAGUAUUCUAGUGGGCAUGCCUGUUCGAGCGUCAUUUCAACCCCUAAGCACAGCUUAUUGUUGGGAACCUACGGCUUCGUAGUUCCUCAAAGACAUUGGCGGAGUGGCAGUGGUCCUCUGAGCGUAGUAAUCUUUUAUCUCGCUUCUGUUAGGUGCUGCCCCCCCGGCCGUAAAACCCCCAAUUUUUUCUGGUUGACCUCGGAUCAGGUAGGAAUACCCGCUGAACUUAAGCAUAUCAAUAA
rnacentral:rRNA from 1 species